GGAGAAAGGACCAAUCUGCUUCAUAUUAAAUGUUGACGACUCAAGGAGACUGCUAAAAUGAGGAAUACUAGUUUCAUGCAUAUAAUUGAAUAGACAGAAGGAAAACUGACCACAGCAUAUACUGGAACAAAGAUUUUACAAACGAGUUGACCUUGUUUGUACAUAAAUGCUACAGAUGUAGAACUAUCUGACCAGAUAUGGACAUGAUAAUACCUGGACUUUAUCUGAAAGGCAACGAGAGCUAGCCAGACAGCCUUCAGAUCUAUGUAGCUGGAUAAGCUUCUCAAAUGUUCUCAGCAAAAUUCAGUUUCUUCAUAUCAC